UUGGAGGAUUUGAAGACUUUAACAUGCAGACUUGACAAAUUUGAAGACUUUAACUUGCAAAGUUGGAAGAUUUGAAUACUUCAACU
rnacentral:pre_miRNA from 1 species